rnacentral:tRNA from 1 species
GCGUUGGUGGUUCAGUGGUAGAAUUCUCGCCUGCCACGCGGGAGACUGGGGUUCGAUUCCCCGCCAACGCA